UAAUCAUGCAAUUCUCUUUUCAAUGCUAAUCUUCCUAGGGUUUCUUCUCAGGUGAUCCUACGAAUUAUGCUUUGUUUCUUGAAAUUCUUCUUCUUCUUUCUCCCGAUUUGGCUCUUUCCUCACUGCUCUAAUGGCCGCAUCUUCACCUUCAAGAUGCACCACCGAUUCUCUGAUUCAUUCAAGAACUGGGCUGAUUCCUCUAAUAAUCACUUCCCAGUAGGAAAAUGGCCAUCCAAGGCAAGUUUCGAGUACUACGCAGAGUUGGCCCACCGUGAUCAGAUUCUACGUGGCCGGAAACUCUCCAAUCUAGACGCGCCGCUCGCUUUCUCAGACGGGAAUUCCACUUUUAAAAUUAGCUCUUUGGGAUUUUUGCAUUACACGACGGUGGAAUUGGGUACGCCAGGAGUAAAGUUUAUGGUGGCGCUUGAUACGGGAAGUGAUCUGUUUUGGGUGCCUUGCGAUUGCAGCAAAUGUGCGCCUACUCAGGGCGCUGCUUAUGCUUCUGAUUUUGAGCUUAGCAUAUACAACCCCAAAAAAUCAUCAACACGCAAAAGGGUCACCUGCAACAACAAUUUGUGCAUGCACCGUAAUCGAUGCCUUGGAACAUUCAGCAGUUGCCCAUACAUGGUCUCUUACGUCUCUGCUCAAACUUCUACUUCUGGAAUUUUGGUAGAGGAUGUUCUGCACUUAAGAACUGAAGACAGUGAUCCAGAAUUUGUCAAAGCAUAUAUCACAUUUGGUUGUGGACAGGUUCA
rnacentral:misc_RNA from 1 species